rnacentral:rRNA from 1 species
AUUGAACGCUGGCGGCAGGCCUAACACAUGCAAGUCGAGCGGAUGAGAGAAGCUUGCUUCUCGAUUCAGCGGCGGACGGGUGAGUAAUGCCUAGGAAUCUGCCUGGUAGUGGGGACAACGUUUCGAAAGGAACGCUAAUACCGCAUACGUCCUACGGGAGAAGGCAGGGGACCUUCGGGCCUUGCGCUAUCAGAUAAGCCUAGGUCGGAUUAGCUAGUUGGUGAGGUAAUGGCUCACCAAGGCGACGAUCCGUAACUGGUCUGAGAGGAUGAUCAGUCACACUGGAACUGAGACACGGUCCAGACUCCUACGGGAGGCAGCAGUGGGGAAUAUUGGACAAUGGGCGAAAGCCUGAUCCAGCCAUGCCGCGUGUGUGAAGAAGGUCUUCGGAUUGUAAAGCACUUUAAGUUGGGAGGAAGGGUUGUAGAUUAAUACUCUGCAAUUUUGACGUUACCGACAGAAUAAGCACCGGCUAACUCUGUGCCAGCCGCCGCGGUAAGAC